AUGUUGAAGUUUAUUGGGUCAAGAUGGAAGCAUUUCAAGUUCAACAACCUUCGUCUCUUGCAUUCUUCUUCUUCUUCCACUCAAACUGAUUCCCUUUUCUUCGAAUUUCCAAAGCUGGUGACACAAUCAUUCCCAUUCCUUGUAUCCUCAACCAAUGGAUUCAAGAGGGCAAAGACGUCAACCAUUCCGAGCUACAGUUUUUCAUCAAGCAACUCAGAACCCAUCGUCGCUUGA